UAAAAGGUUACUUACAAAAUCACUUGGUGGUGUUGUGUAUCCAUCAGAUUCGUCGCUCAGCUGAGUCAGCUCAUGUAUAGACGCCAACAAAUCGGAGCUCCCUCUAUAUCCAAUGCUUCCCGUAUGUUUCAGAUAAUCAUUACUGCACUUAGGAAUGAUCUCAUCCAUCAAGUAAUUACUGGAUUUGAUCCAGAUGUCUCCAGUUAUGGACUUAAGACAAACUAUACCUAGUGGACAUGUAUUUUCCAUUGAGCACCACCCAAACCUGACAGCAUUUGCGAAGCUCUUCUUGCUUUGCCAUUUUCCUGCAUAACUUGCUUCAGUGUUAUACAGUUAUAUGCGCUAAGGUACUAUUAAUUUUUUUUUAAGUAUACAUGGAUUGACCAACCUUCUCCAUCAGUUCAGGCUUUUGUUUCUACUGGUUGGUGCAUGAAACUUAAUAUGGCAUCAGAGCCAAGACUCAAAUUCAAGGCCUGGACAACACACUAUUAAAUAAAAAUAGUUGCAGCCUACAUCGAUCGCACGUCCAAGGCCUGGAGCAGCCUAGAAGUGAGGGAGAGUGCCCUCCCUCCUCUCCAUCAGUUCGUUCUUCGGUCUUUUGGGUGAAGUGGCUGGUCCAUGAACUUACUAUGGUAUCAAUGCCAUGAGGUCUUGUGUUCAAGUCUCAGUUUUUGCAGUUUAAAUAAAAAAUUGCUUGCACUCUUUCUGUCCAUGUUAGGCCUUAUCGAGCCACAUGUGAGAGGGGGUGAUGAAGUUCGGACUUUUGGUUCUACUGGUUUAUGCAUGAAACUUAAUACAUUUAUUGUGUACAUGUUACAUCAAGUAACAUAUAUCAAGAGGGAAUGCUCUUUUUUGGGGAUGAGUUCAUUUAAGAUCUCACCUUGAACCGAUGACAAUUCUCUUUAUUUUGAGCUUCUUUAUCAGGUUUACAAGACCAACGAGAAUGUCAUCGUGUGUGAUGUAAUGUGCCUUAACCUGCAAAGAUACAUGCCCUGUUUAUGAAACAUGUCUUCUCUGAAAUAGCAGAACCUGAACCAUAGAAGCCUCACCUCAAACACGAAAAGGUGAAGAUAUCUGGAAGUGGUCCAAAAGGCUAACGAAAGUACCUAAUUGUGCUGCACCACUUUUCAUCAACCCAGAGGCAUCUUUUCCCUUUUGUGCCUUUGCUCUUCCUAGGAAGUGUCAGCUCAUAGAAGGCCUGAAGGAGAGGCAAUGAUGGUGGUUUUAAAUAGUGGCCUUGGAUUUGGUCUUCCUCUGACUGUAUCCAGCAGCAGUGAGCACACUAUCAGGAAAACUUGUCUGAUUCGGGUGAAAUUUCCGUGAAAUUUCCACUACUUCCAAGGAACUGCUGUACAUGCCUGCCCCUCGUUGACUGACUUUUGAUGUGUAGCAACAAAGUCGUCCAAUUAGAUGGUGAUCAUCCCAUCUCCCUGGCCGGCAAUGCCCAUCAAAGGGUUGCUUUCAAGAUGCGUAAAUGUUGUCCAGCACAUAUAGUUUUGAUAUGAUUAGAUGUAUGCAAUAAUGUUCGUUUUCUGCAGGUGGCUUUCACACAAUUCUUGCUCUCAGGCUGUCAAUAUAGUAAUGUACAUCAAGGCAUUUCCUGUUUCCUAAAGCAUCUGAUGAUUAGCAUAUACUAGGAUUAUACUUUGAAUUACAAUACGUGAAGAGGGGUGCAGCUUUGGAUGAUUGGAAUCUCCGUCUGACUCAUUUGGACGGAAGUGCUUGUUGAGAAAUUGCAGGCUUUCAGGAAUACAGUAUCCCAGUGUGAGGACAGAGCGACCGGAAGGUAGGUUAGGAAGUAUGCAGUCCUGACACAGUGAUAUGUCAAAGAUGAAUUGGACUCUUGCUAAAAAUCAAGGUCCAGAUAGGAUAGAUCGCGACUUCAAGGCAAAUGAAGUUUCAUGCUGGUUACCAGCUUCUGAAGGACCAAUAUAUAAUAGAUUGUGCUGCCAAUUUGGUCAGUCAUUGGAGACAAGGACAUCGUACCUUUUGAAUUUGGUAUUGUUCAACACGGAGGAUCUGUGUCAUUGACAAGAAAAUAAAAUAAGCUGAUCAUAGGUCAUUGAAGUUUGAUUGCUUGAUCAUUUUGGACUUUCGGAAUAGACAGAUCGAUGAUGCAAAUAUUAGAUUUUCAAACUGGAUGUAACAUGUAAAAUGACACUGUACCAUAUAUGCUUGUAAAUAAUUGAUAGUUCCAUGCUGAUAUGCACUUUUCAUUCAUCCUGGAACAUCGACAUUCAGAGGCCAAUCAAUACCACACCAAUAUUGAUUGUUCAUUCAAGCAGUGUGCACAUGCGAUGGUGAUAUCAUCACCUAAACAGUUUUCACUUUAUAAAUCCAUGUACAAAGUACAGCAUGCCACUGAUGGAGCUCCAAACUAUUUUGUUUUACAUACACGUUUUGCUCAAGAAACAAAAUGAAAAGUAAUAUGUAUAUCUUAGAUCAUUCUUUCUGAAUACACACAGAAGCGUUUGGUUUUUGCGGUUUGUGCCUAUUAAUCUGUGUAAGGAGUUAAGCGCACACCAAUUGUUCAUCUCAAAGUUCCAUGGUGAUAAAGCUAACAUAUUAAUUUGCAU